AUGGCUCUUUGCAAGGAUCCCGGUCCCACGGGCUGGGGCUGCCACAGAGGGCAGCUCACGAGCUCCAAACCCUGGCUCCAGAGCUGGGCACUGAAGGUCUCUGGUGUUCCUCGCUCCAGCAGCCGUGCCGUGGCUUGGCACAUGGAUCGGAGGCAGCAUGGGCUCGGGCACCAGGGCAAGAUACCACCUUUGGGUGCCUCACCUGGGUCCGGCCUUGGACACGCAGGACAAGCGGAGGAUGGAUAUGGCCACGCAGCACUUUCCAGCAAGGCAGAGGAGGAAGAUCUGGACUCAGAAAACGAGAAGCUGGUGGUGAGAGAGCCAGAGGAUGAGGAUGGUAAGUGCCAAGCAAGUCAGCAUCCUGUGGGGAGGGUACAGGUGGGUCUGAGGGAUGAAGCCCUGAGUGCUUGGGGAUGGUCUCCUUCCUCCAGGAAAUCUAGAGAAAAUUCCUACAGCCCCUGUUUGAUUCCCCAGAUGCCCUUGGGCUGUUUGCCACAGGGUAGCUUUGUGAUGAAGCUGCUCCAAAAGCUCCUUGUUCACAUCCAGGACAAUCUCCAGGGGCUUUAG
rnacentral:lncRNA from 1 species